CAUGUACUCCCUCCGUUCGGAUAUACUUGCCGGAGAAAUGGAUGCAAAUGGAUGUAUCUAGAAUUAAAAUAUAUCUGAAUUCAUUCAUUUCCCGGACAAGUAUUUUUGGACCGAGGGAGUACCAA
rfam:Triticum aestivum genome assembly, contig: Triticum_aestivum_CS42_TGACv1_scaffold_158983_2DL